rnacentral:lncRNA from 1 species
GUAUACAGACAGAUUCUUGGAGCUGUUGCCAUUUGCUGGGCAGAAUCUGGAUACAGAUCAGAAAAAGUCAAGGAGGUAUAUCAUGAAGCUCCAUUCCAGGUAUUCCUCCUUGAUUCAGUCAGCAGAAAGGGAGAGUUUCCAUGCCAUAGUGGAUAUGGCUCGGAGGAUGAAGGCUAGUGCAAUAAUCGAGGGGAAAGUCAAGCAGUC